rnacentral:rRNA from 1 species
CCUGGCUCAGGAUGAACGCUGGCGGCGUGCUUAACACAUGCAAGUCUUAGGAGAACGUUUCUUCGGAAACAAGUAAACUGGCGAACGGGUGAGUAACGCGUAGACAAUCUACCCUUUAGACUGGGAUAACGCUGUGAAAACGGUGCUAAUACCAGAUGUUAUCAUUUUUCCUUGGAAUUAUGAUUAAAGGUGGCUUCGGCUAUCACUAAAGGAUGAGUCUGCGUCUGAUUAGCUUGUUGGUAGGGUAAAAGCCUACCAAGGCGACGAUCAGUAGCUGGUCUGAGAGGAUGAUCAGCCACACUGGGACUGAGAUACGGCCCAGACUCCUACGGGAGGCAGCGUAGCUGGUCUGAGAGGAUGAUCAGCCACACUGGGACUGAGACACGGCCCAGACUCCUACGGGAGGCAGCAGUGGGGAAUNUUGNGCAAUGGGCGAAAGCCUGACGCAGCAACGCCGCGUGAUCGAAGAAGCUCCGAGGAGUGUAAAGAUCUGUCAUAAGGGAAGAAUAGCAUUUAUUCUAACAAAAUAGGUGUGUGACGGUACCUUAUAAGAAAGCCCCGGCUAACUUCGUGCCAGCAGCCGCGGUAAUACGAGGGGGGCAAGCGUUGUCCGGAAUCAUUGGGCGUAAAGGGUUCGUAGGCGGACUGACCAGUUGGAAUUGAAAGACCACGGCUUAACCGGGGGAACGGUUUCAAUACUAUCAGUCUUGAGUGAGGUAGAGGUAAGCGGAAUUCCUGGUGUAGCGGUGAAAUGCGUAGAUAUCAGGAGGAACAUCAAAGGCGAAGGCAGCUUACUGGGCCUAUACUGACGCUGAGGAACGAAAGCGUGGGGAGCAAACAGGAUUAGAGACCCUGGUAGUCCACGCCGUAAACGAUGAGUACUUGGUGAUGGGGGAUUCGACCCCUUCAUUGCCGGAGCUAACGCGUUAAGUACUCCGCCUGGGAACUACGACCGCAAGGUUGAAACUCAAAGGAAUUGACGGGGACCCGCACAAGCGGUGGAUCAUGUGGUUUAAUUCGAUGCAACGCGAAGAACCUUACCUAGGCUUGACAUGUUAGUGAAACUUCUGUGAAAGCAGAAGCCUCUGCGAGCUUGCUCAAAGACACUAUCACAGGUGAUGCAUGGCUGUCGUCAGCUCGUGUCGUGAGAUGUUCGGUUAAGUCCGAUAACGAGCGCAACCCCUAUUCUUAGUUGCCAGCACAUAAUGGUGGGGACUCUAAGAAAACUGCCCGGGAUAACCGGAAGGAAGGUGGGGUCGACGUCAAGUCAGUAUGUCCCUUACGCCUAGGGCUACACACGUGAUACAAUGGGGAGCACAAAGGGUUGCAAUACCGCGAGGUGGAGCCAAUCCCAAAAAACUUCCCCAAGUUCAGAUUGCAGUCUGCAACUCGACUGCAUGAAGCAGGAAUCGCUAGUAAUCGUGGAUCAGAACGCCACGGUGAAUACGUUCCCGGGUCUUGUACACACCGCCCGUC